GAUGAACGCUGGCGGCGUGCCUAAUACAUGCAAGUCGAGCGAACAGACUUGUAUCUUUCUCCUCUGACGUUAUCGUCUUACGGGUGAGUAACACGUGGAUAACCUACCUAUAAGACUGCUAUCACUUCGGGAAACCGGAGCUAAUACCGGCUAAUCUAUUGCACCGCAUGGUUCAAUAGUUAAAGACGGUUUUGCUGUCACUUCUAGAUGGAUCCGCGCCGCAUUAGCUAGUUUGUAAGGUAACGGCUUACCAAGGCAACGAUGCGUAGCCCACCUGAGAGGGUGAUCGGACACACUGGAACUGAGACACGGUCCAGACUCCGAAGGGAGGCAGCAGUAGGGAAUCUUACGCGAGGGGCGAAAGCCUGACGGAGCAAAGCCGCGUGAGUGAUGAAGGUCUGCGGAUCGUAAAACUAUGUUAUUAGGGAAGAACAAAUGUGUAAGUAACAAUGCACGUAUUGACGGUACCUAAUCAGAAAGCCACGGCUAACUACGUG
rnacentral:rRNA from 1 species